rnacentral:rRNA from 1 species
CCUACGGGUGGCUGCAGUGAGGAAUAUUGGUCAAUGGGCGCGAGCCUGAACCAGCCAAGUCGCGUGAAGGAUGACGGUCCUAGGGAUUGUAAACUUCUUUUGUGCAGGAAUAAAGUGAGGAACGUGUUCCUUUUUGUAUGUACUGUACGAAUAAGCAGCGGCUAACUCCGUGCCAGCAGCCGCGGUAAUACGGAGGAUGCGAGCGUUAUCCGGAUUUAAGGGGGCGUAAGGGUGCGGAGGCGUGCGGGGUGAAAGUUUGCAGCUUAACUGUAAAAUUGCCAUUGAAACUGUUAGUCUUGAGUGCAAAUGAGGUAGGCGGAAUGUGUUGUGUAGCGGUGAAAUGCUUAGAUAUAACACAGAACUCCGAUUGCGAAGGCAGCUUACUGGGAUGCAACUGACGCUGAUGCACGAAAGCGUGGGUAUCAAACAGGAUUAGAUACCCGGGUAGUC